rnacentral:lncRNA from 1 species
AUGGGAGCAAGACCCAGGACUCCCAGAGCAGGAAGACAGGGCAGGACAUUCUUCCUCUUACUCAGGGGGCUCUUGCUCUCCCUUCUGGCACACCUCACCGGUCCUGUUUUUCUUUUUCAUCUGCUUUACAACAGCACUAGACACUUUGAAAAAUGUGGUUUUCUCCUCCGUUCCGGAGCCUGCGCAAGCAGAUCCUCACUAACGAUUCUCGGGGCGCACGCCAAUCCCUCCGCCUUCAGCAAAGCACUCAGGUGCACGCCAACGCAGGACAGCUCUCAGCAACGCCCUCAGCCGCAGCAGGGACGGCUUAAAACUCGCUCCCGCAGCACUGCUCCUCGCCUAACGCCCAGCGCGCAGGGGCAAAGCCUCGCCCGGUGCCCCCUCACCCCGCCCUGCUCCCAGCCGCACGCAGCUCGCUGCCGCCAACAGCCCGCCCUUCGCGCGCCGCCAUUUCCUAACGGCCGCCGCUCGCCUCGCCCCGCCCCGCGCCGCCGGGUGAGUGCCGGGGCUGCCGGGGGAGGAGGGCGCGGGGGGCCGGGGGCGACGGCGGCGGUUGGAGCGGGCCGCGGGCGUUGUAGCACCCCCGCCCCGCCGUCCCGAGCGCCCUGGGCACCCGCGGAAGGCGGCGGCCCCCUGGGUCCCGCCUGCCCGGGCAGUGCGGUAGGCAGCGUGAGCUGCCGGGAGGCCAGGCGCAAGGCUUGGCGGCUGUCCCUCGCGGGGCCUGAAGGAACCACGCCGAGGCGACUUACAAAUCAUCCCUUGGCUUCAGAGCUCCUUAUGUCGAGGCCCCUGGGAAUUGCAAGGGCUGCGUACUCUGAACAUGCAGUAAUUGUUCCUUGCUUGGUGUCCCUCAUGUCAGCGGUGCCUGCUCCCAGCAGCAUAGCUGUACACGUGAGUGCUGGCUGCAAGGAGGGAGCCCUUGCAUAUUACCUGCCGCUGGCUUUUGAGCUCAGUUUUUUGUGCUUUUCCUUCUGGAAGAAGUUUAAUAGUACCCAUGUGUGGUGCUACAGUGAAAGGAAGCAGUGGGGCUCACGUGGUUUAAGAGUAGCUGUGACCAUUUUUCUUUCCUGUUGCUUUAGAGGGAGCUGA